rnacentral:rRNA from 1 species
ACUUGAUCUCAAAUCAGAUAAGGGUACCCGCUGAACUUAAGCAUAUCAAUAAGCGGAGGAAAAGAAACUAACAAGGAUUCCCUUAGUAACGGCGAGUGAAGCGGGAAGAGCUCAAAUUUGAAAUCUUCAAGGUUCUACCUUGACGAAUUGUAGUUUAAAGAAGUGUUUUCUGUUAGAUGAGUAGCAAAAGUUCCUUGGAAUGGGACAUCAUAGAGGGUGAGAAUCCCGUAUUUGGUUAUUCAUUCUAGCUUUGUGAUACACUUUCAAAGAGUCGGAUUGUUUGGGAAUGCAGUCCAAAAUGGGUGGUAAAUUUCAUCUAAAGCUAAAUAUUGGCGAGAGACCGAUAGCGAACAAGUACCGUGAGGGAAAGAUGAAAAGAACUUUGAAAAGAGAGUUAAACAGUACGUGAAAUUGUCAAAAGGGAAGCGUUUGACACCAGUGUUGUUUUUCCGAAAAUCAAUUACGAAUGGCUUGAUUUUGUGUUGUAUUGACCUUAUCAGCUUUCUGCACUUUUUUCGAGUCUUUCUUAAUGCACUUUUCGGUUAACAAGUCAACAUCAAUUUCUUUUGUUGUAAAAGAGUAUUCGGAAGGUGGCUUUCUUUUCGGAGAAAGUGUUUAUAGCCCUAUACUUCUACAAUCGGAGAGAUUGAGGUCUGCAGCGUAGAUCCUUCGGGGUUAGAUACACUUGUGCUAAGUUGUAGCUUUUCAUAGACAACUUGUUGACUAUGUUUAGUCAUGCGGCUUACUCGCUUGUGCUAUUUUACCUACGCUUAGGAUGUUGACAAAAUGGUUUUAAACGACCCGUCUUGAAACACGGACC